GAUUAUAUAUCUUGUUAGUGGCCUUAUUUGAAAAGUUUAUAAGUGAAAAAUAAUUUUUAAUAAAAAAUAAGUAGUUUUUAAUGAAGAAAAUAUACAACUAUAGAAAAAAGUACUGUGAAGGAAAGAAAAAUAAAAUAGAAAUAAAAGAAAAAAUUAAAUUUUGUACCUUGUGUAUAAGGGAGAAUUUAUAUAAUUAAAAUAAGGAUUAAAGUCUCGAAAAAAAAAUAGCUAGUUUUAUAGUAGAGUUUUUGUAGGAUAAAAAUUUUAAAUAUAAAAUUAAAGAUGAAAUAUUAAACGAGUUUUAUUAUAUCUAGUUUUUUAAAAGACAAAUUUAAUUUAGUUUAUAUAUUAAUAAUAAUAUAAAAGUAUAAAAUAGAAAGGGUAAGCUUUUUAUUGUAGUAUAUGAAAUAGGGGCGAAUCAAAUAUAAGAUGAUCUAGGCUUAAAAGUAGUUAAGUUUUUAAAGUGUUUUAACUAAGUUAUUAAGGAUAAGAGUUUAUUGCUUUUCUUUAGUAUUAAAAAUUUAUUAAAAAUAUAAAAUAAUAAGAUAAAGUGAUUUUAUUAGUAGAAAAUUUAUUGUGGGGAAAAAGUAUAGAAUAAAAGUUUAAAAUUUAGGAGUAUUAAGAUGUGUUAUAGGAAUUCGGUAAAAUAUUUUCUUGCCUGUUUAUCAAAAACAUGUCUAUUUGAAGUUAUAAAAAGUCYMMCCRSCCCACUGAWWAAAAAUGAUUUAAGGGGCCGCGGUAUUAUGACCGUGCAAAGGUAGCGUAAUCAUUAGGUUUUUAAAUGGGAUCUUGUAUGAAUGGUUGGACAAAGAAGAAGCUGUCUUAAGGAUAUAUAUUUAAUUUUACUUUUAAGUGAGAAGGCUUAAAUAUUUUAAGGGGACGAUAAGACCCUAUAAAGCUUUACAUUACAAUUAUAAAAAAUUAAAUUUAAGUAAUAAAAAUUUUGUGUAGUUAUUUGUUUUGUUGGGGAGACAAGAGUAAAAAUUAUGCUAACUGCUUAAUAAAAAAACAUUUAUAGAUGUGUAAGGGGUUUGUGGAUCCUGUGUUUGUAUAGAUUCAAAGAUUAAGUUACUUUAGGGAUAACAGUGCAAUUUUUUUUAAGAGUUCAUAUCGAAAAAAAAGUUUACAACCUCGAUGUUGAAUUAAAAUAUCUUUAUAAUGUAGCUGUUAUAUUAGAAGGUCUGUUCGACCUUUAAUUUU
rnacentral:rRNA from 1 species